rnacentral:rRNA from 1 species
UACAGAGGUCCCAAGCGUUGUUCGGAAUUACUGGGCGUAAAGGGCGCGUAGGCGGCCCGCUAAGUCGAACGUGAAAUCCCCCGAGCUCAACCUGGGAACUGCGUCUGAUACUGGAUGGCUUGAAUCCGGGAGAGGGAUGCAGAAUUCCAGGUGUAGCGGUGAAAUGCGUAGAUAUCUGGAGGAAUACCGGUGGCGAAGGCGG